rnacentral:rRNA from 1 species
CCUACGGGAGGCAGCAGUGGGGAAUUUUGGACAAUGGGCGCAAGCCUGAUCCAGCCAUUCCGCGUGAGUGAAGAAGGCCUUCGGGUUGUAAAGCUCUUUCGCAAGGGAAGAAACGAUACUGGUAAAUAAUCAGUGUUAAUGACGGUACCUUGAUAAGAAGCACCGGCUAACUACGUGCCAGCAGCCGCGGUAAUACGUAGGGUGCGAGCGUUAAUCGGAAUUACUGGGCGUAAAGCGUGCGCAGGCUGUUUUGUAAGUCAGAUGUGAAAUCCCCGAGCUCAACUUGGGAACUGCGUUUGAAACUACAAGACUAGAAUAUGUCAGAGGGGGGUAGAAUUCCACGUGUAGCAGUGAAAUGCGUAGAGAUGUGGAGGAAUAUCAAUGGCGAAGGCAGCCCCCUGGGAUAAUAUUGACGCUCAUGCACGAAAGCGUGGGGAGCAAACAGGAUUAGAUACCCUGGUAGUCCACGCCCUAAACGAUGUCAACUAGUUGUUGGUAGAGUAAAAUCUAUGAGUAACGCAGCUAACGCGUGAAGUUGACCGCCUGGGGAGUACGAUCGCAAGNUUAAAACUCAAAGGAAUUGACGG